UUUCAUGGAGAGUUUGAUCCUGGCUCAGGACGAACGCUGGCGGCGUGCCUAAUACAUGCAAGUCGAGCGAAUCUUGAGGUGCUUGCACCUCUUGGUUAGCGGCGGACGGGUGAGUAACACGUGGGCAACCUGCCUGUAAGACUGGGAUAACAUCGGGAAACCGAUGCUAAUACCGGAUAAUCCUUUUCCUCUCAUGAGGGAAAGCUGAAAGUCGGCUUCUCGCUGACACUUACAGAUGGGCCCGCGGCGCAUUAGCUAGUUGGUGAG
rnacentral:rRNA from 1 species